UACGGGGGGUGCGAGCGUUAAUCGGAAUUACUGGGCGUAAAGCGUGCGUAGGCGGUUAAUUAAGUCAGAUGUGAAAGCCCCGGGCUUAACCUGGGAACUGCAUUUGAUACUGGUUAACUAGAGUAUAGUAGAGGAAAGUAGAAUUUCUGGUGUAGCGGUGAAAUGCGUAGAUAUCAGAAAGAAUACCGAUGGCGAAGGCAACUUUCUGGACUAAUACUGACGCUGAGGUACGAAAGCGUGGGGAGCGAAUGGG
rnacentral:rRNA from 1 species